CGGCGAACGGGUGAGUAACACGUGAGUAAUCUGCCCCUAGCUCUGGGAUAGCUCCGGGAAACCGGGAUUAAUACCGGAUAUGACCACUACAGACAUCUGUUCUGGUGGAAAGAAUUUCGGCUAGGGAUGAGCUCGCGGCCUAUCAGCUUGUUGGUGGGGUAAAGGCCUACCAAGGCGACGACGGGUAGCCGGCCUGAGAGGGCGACCGGCCACACUGGGACUGAGACACGGCCCAG
rnacentral:rRNA from 1 species